rnacentral:rRNA from 1 species
GACGAACGCUGGCGGCGUGCUUAACACAUGCAAGUCGAACGAAGAGCGAUGGAAGCUUGCUUCUAUCAAUCUUAGUGGCGAACGGGUGAGUAACGCGUAAUCAACCUGCCCUUCAGAGGGGGACAACAGUUGGAAACGACUGCUAAUACCGCAUACGAUCUAAUCUCGGCAUCGAGGAUAGAUGAAAGGUGGCCUCUACAUUUAAGCUAUCACUGAAGGAGGGGAUUGCGUCUGAUUAGCUAGUUGGAGGGGUAACGGCCCACCAAGGCGAUGAUCAGUAGCCGGUCUGAGAGGAUGAACGGCCACAUUGGGACUGAGACACGGCCCAGACUCCUACGGGAGGCAGCAGUGGGGAAUCUUCCGCAAUAGACGAAAGUCUGACGGAGCAACGCCGCGUGAGUGAUGACGGCCUUCGGGUUGUAAAGCUCUGUUAAUCGGGACGAAAGGCCUUCUUGCGAACAGUCAGAAGGAUUGACGGUACCGGAAUAGAAAGCCACGGCUAACUACGUG